rnacentral:rRNA from 1 species
GAUGAACGCUAGCGGCAGGCCUAACACAUGCAAGUCGAGGGGCAGCAUGGCGUAGCGAUACGCUGAUGGCGACCGGCGCACGGGUGAGUAACACGUAGGCAACCUACCCUUCAGUGGGGGACAACAGAGGGAAACUUCUGCUAAUACCGCAUACGGCCUUGUACUGGGAUGUACGAGGAGAAAGGAUUUAUUCGCUGAGGGAUGGGCCUGCGGCCUAUCAGGUAGUUGGUGGGGUAAAGGCCUACCAAGCCUGCGACGGGUAGCCGGACUGAGAGGUCGACCGGCCACACUGGAACUGAGACACGGUCCAGACUCCUACGGGAGGCAGCAGUGGGGAAUAUUGCACAAUGGGGGAAACCCUGACCGAGCGAUGCCGCGUGAGUGGUGAAGGUUCUAUGAA